GUCCACGCUGUAAACGAUGGAUGCUAGCCGUCAGCAAGCAUGCUUGUUGGUGGCGCAGCUAACGCAUUAAGCAUCCCGCCUGGGGAGUACGGCCGCAAUGUUAAAACUCAAAGGAAUUGACGGGGGCCCGCACAAGCGGUGGAGCAUGUGGUUUAAUUCGACGCAACGCGAAGAACCUUACCAACCCUUGACAUGCCCGGUCGGUUUCCAGAGAUGGAUUCCUCCCAGCAAUGGGCCGGAGCACAGGUGCUGCAUGGCUGUCGU
rnacentral:rRNA from 1 species